rnacentral:lncRNA from 1 species
GCAUUUCUCUGGUGAUUAGUGCAGUUCAGCACCUUUUCAGAUUCCUGUUGGCCAUUUGUGGAGUCUCACUCUGUAGCCCAAGCUGGAGUGGCGUGAUCUCGACUCACUGCAACCUCCGCCUCCUGGGAUCAAGUGAUUCUCGUGCCUCAGCCUCCUGAGUAGCCGGGACUACAGGUCACAGAAUUUUCCACACUCCUUGACAGAGGUGCUUAACCCUUAUCCAUCAGCAUUCUCAGACAGCACCUCCGGUUAGGGACAGUAUCUGACCGUCCGACAUCCCUGCAGCCCCCAUGUGUCACACAGACUCAGCCUCAGGUAGAUGGUUUCCGUAGAUGGUGGCUUUCUUUGGACCCUUGACAUCAACCAGUUACUAUUUGGGCCACACAUAACAAAUAGAAGCAGAGCAAGCCCUGGAACUCCUGCCUGACAGUGACACGACGACAGAAACAUCUUACCAGUCAGAGGACCAUGAGAAAUAGAUUCAAGGAGCAUUCCACGUGCAAGUGAGUCUUGGCCCCAUCUGCCUUUGGAUUUUAGCCGUGAACUGGAAGGUAUUGGAAAGAAGACCCUCAGAAAUAGCUUAAUCAAAAUCCCUGCGUCUGAACCAAGUGCCUUAUUUCUCUGUGGGCCUCAAGCUUCGCUGACAUCUGUGGAGCACACUGUCCUAACAGGAGUGCUGUCUGAUUUCCCAACGCUCUGCAAAACAAACAGCCUGGAAGGGUGGCUGGUGGAAGGUGGUUUUUAGAGAGAGACUUGUAGAUAACAGGAAAGUGAAGGCUGUAAGGAAGGUUGUAAUUAAACAGCACAUGGAAACACAAUCACAUUAUUGUCCCAUUCCAUAGGGAUAAUGAUGACCACUUCAGUGGGAAAAGGAGAGGUUUUAAGUCAUUAGGGACUAUGGGCCACCUUUUAGGAAGAUUUAUUUUCAAAGGUUAAAAUAGUGUUUUGGCAAUUCAAGUUUCAUUUUCAGAAAAUGUAAUUGAUGGGAACCUCAGUGACUCUGGAUGAAUAAGAUGCUGUUGAGUGGCUCUGACUUGGGCCAGCCGUGCUUCUCACAGGACCUUGGAGACCAAGGUCACUGUGAUCUCAGGUUCAGGGGGCAAGUCCUCUCCACACAGCCCUAGUUGGCCUCACAGCUGAAAAUGUCUCCCUUACUGUUGGACUCCUUUGUUCACCCACAUGAGUUUGUGAAUAAAUCCUUUCCAGUCUGAAA